AUGUUCUAUCCACCUUCCUAUUCUCCACUAAUUCCUCCUUCAAGUCUCCAUCUUCCGACUAAAUUCAAUCAGAUCUGAAGCUCAUGCAUCCUCCUUUUUGUAUUGGUCUUCGUAUGGUCUUCCUGCCUUUUGUAUUGCCUGCAUUUAUAGCACAGAUCUAAUUUUUGCAACCAAGAUUUGAGUUCCCAAUUAAUAUGAUGUGUUACAAAUUUUGUAGAGUACUAAUAAUUUCUAACGACCCUUGUUGGCUUUGCUUUCUUCUACUCGGAAAUACCAGAGCAUCUUACGAAAAUGAAGCUUUCCAGUACUACUCUUUGCAAGUUUAAUCCAAGAAGCUCCACGACCAUUGUAACCUACAAAAAUGAGGAAACAUAUAUCAGAUUCAGUGACGUUGUAGUUGUGUUCUCUCCCAGAAUAAGCUAGUCAGAUGCAUCUUUCCAAUACUACUUUUUAGUAGUUUCGCGCCCUAAUGGUAAAGUAUAUAGAUGCAAAAGGAUUUUGCAUACUACUAAAAUGCAUAGCCAUUCCAAUACACCGAUCCAACAAGCACAUUAUCGUUGUCGGUUAGUGGUUGCCGGUUGUCUAUGCUGGUUGUCUCCCUUAUCACUUAAGGGGCUUUGGCGAGACCAAGUUCUAAUCUCUGCAAUUUUACUUCAAUCCUCUGCAUUAGUGUCAUUAAUUCAGUGGCGCCAUCCGAGCUAGCGGCACUAUCCAAUCCAAUUUCCUAUAAAUCAUUAUUAACAACUCUCUUCUCUUUUUACAUGUUUUAAAAAUCUGCAUAUUUUCUUGGAAUGAUUUCAGUAACAUAAUUGAAUGGCUCGGUAUAUGCUCACAUAUCCCCGCUCUUACAAGCUACCAUAAAGCUUGUAUCAGACUGGUAGUGUAUACUAUAUUGCUAACUCUAAGAUUGGAUUUUGUGUUAACUAUAGACAACAACAACAAAGCCUUUAGUCCCAAACAAGUUUGUGUUAACUAUAGAAUCUUGAAAAAAGAAAUAGUGGGCUGAUUAGAUAUAAUAAGAUUUAAAAUAGAAAAUAAAUGAUGAAUAGCAAAUGACCAUUUUAAUCAAGCGCUAGAAGUCGCUGCACACUUAAAAAAACAAGCUAAUUGCACAUCAGCUCCGUCUCGAUUCGGUGCCACAUUAGAAUUAGAGGAAAUUUAGAGAGGCAGAUCACAUUCUUUGUUUGUCUAAUGCCAACUUUAAUCAUACACUAUGAAUCUACAAAGUUGACUUGUCCAACAAAUUUCUGAAUUUAAUUAGUGUGACUACUUGUUGGAAAGAAAUCAUCAUCAUAUGACAAAACAAAUACCCAAAAUAUGUUCCCAUCACAUGACACAACCAAGAUGUGCAGUCAACCAUGAGGUUGCAAUGAAAUGUAAGAACAAAGAAUUACAGUCGGUUGGGUGGGUUGUGGUCACGUGUGAUGAGGAUAGUGAGCCCGGCAGCGUAAAU
rnacentral:lncRNA from 1 species